rnacentral:rRNA from 1 species
GACGAACGCUGGCGGCAGGCUUAACACAUGCAAGUCGAACGCCCCGCAAGGGGAGUGGCGCACGGGUGAGUAACGCGUGGGAAUAUGCCCUUCGGUUCGGAAUAACACAGGGAAACUUGUGCUAAUACCGGAUACGAUCUACGGAUGAAAGAUUUAUCGCCGAGGGAGUAGCCCGCGUAGGAUUAGCUAGUUGGUGAGGUAAUGGCUCACCAAGGCGACGAUCCUUAGCUGGUCUGAGAGGAUGAUCAGCCACACUGGGACUGAGACACGGCCCAGACUCCUACGGGAGGCAGCAGUGGGGAAUAUUGGACAAUGGGGGAAACCCUGAUCCAGCCAUGCCGCGUGAGUGAUGAAGGCCUUAGGGUUGUAAAGCUCUUUCGCCAGGGAAGAUAAUGACGGUACCUGGAAAAGAAGCCUCGGCUAACUCCAUGCCAGCCGCCGCCGUAACAC